ACGAACGCUGGCGGCGUGCCUAACACAUGCAAGUCGAACGGAGUCAUUCUAAAGUAGCAAUACGGAAGAAUGACUUAGUGGCGCACGGGUGAGUAACACGUAGGUAACCUGCCCUUAAGAGGGGGAAAACCCGCCGAAAGGCGAGCUAAUACCGCAUAAGACCACGAACUGAGAUGUUUGUGGUAAAAGGAGCAAUCCACUUAAGGAUGGGCCUGCGGCCUAUCAGGUAGUUGGUGAGGUAACGGCUCACCAAGCCUAAGACGGGUAGCCGGUCUGAGAGGACGGACGGCCACACUGGAACUGAGACACGGUCCAGACUCCUACGGGAGGCAGCAGUGGGGAAUUUUGCACAAUGGGCGAAAGCCUGAUGCAGCGACGCCGCGUGGAGGAUGAAGGCCUUCGGGUUGUAAACUCCUUUUGUAGGGGAAAAUAAUGAUGGUACCCUGCGAAUAAGCCACGGCUAACUCUGU
rnacentral:rRNA from 1 species